GUGUCAGCAGCCGCGGUAAUACGAAGGGGGCUAGCGUUGCUCGGAAUUACUGGGCGUAAAGGGCGCGUAGGCGGCCUUGUCAGUCGGGCGUGAAAUCCCCGGGCUCAACCUGGGAAUUGCGUUCGAUACGGCUGGGCUUGAGGCCGAGAGAGGGUGGUGGAAUUCCCAGUGUAGAGGUGAAAUUCGUAGACAUUGGGAAGAACACCGGUGGCGAAGGCGGCCACCUGGCUCGGUACUGACGCUGAGGCGCGACAGCGUGGGGAGCAAACAGGAUUAGAAACCCCCGUAGUCC
rnacentral:rRNA from 1 species